GCCGUCUGUGACUCAAAGAUACUCACGACAAAAGCUCCUCGACUUUUUCGAAAAAAGUGAUCGACUUUUUUCCAAGUCGCCAGUUAGGGAGUCUUGCGAGGAAAUCAGCCAGCAAGGGAUCGACAUUUCAGAAGAUCGACUUUUUCUUCCAAGGAAAAAAAGUCGAUCCCUCACGGAGCUAGGCUUUCAGGCAUCGACUUCCAAGGAAUCCUCCAAGUGCACUAGGG
rnacentral:lncRNA from 1 species